AUCAACUUUCGAUGGUAGGAUAGAGGCCUACCAUGGUGGUAACGGGUAACGGGGUGUUAGGGCACGACACCGGAGAGGGAGCCUGAGAAACGGCUACCACAUCCAAGGAUGGCAGCAGGCGCGCAAAUUACCCAAUCCCGACACGGGGAGGUAGUGACAAUAAAUAACAAUACGGGGUUCUUUAGGAUCUCGUAAUUGGAAUGAGUACAAUUUAAAUCUCUUAACGAGGAACAAUUGGAGGGCAAGUCUGGUGCCAGCAGCCGCGGUAAUUCCAGCUCCAAUAGCGUAUAUUAAAGUUGUUGCAGUUAAAAAGCUCGUAGUUGAAUUUCGGGGUUAGUAGAUUGGUCAUGCCUCUGGUAUGCACUGGUCUCACUGAUUCCUCCUUCCUGAUGAGCCGUAAUGCCAUUAAUUUGGUGUUGCGGGGAAUUUGGACUGUUACUUUGAAAAAAUUAGAGUGUUUAAAGCAAGCUAACGCUUGAAUACAUUAGCAUGGAAUAAUGAAAUAGGACGUUCGAUCCUAUUUUGUUGGUUUCUAGGAUUGACGUAAUGAUUAAUAGGGAUAGUUGGGGGCAUUAGUAUUCAAUUGUCAGAGGUGAAAUUCUUGGAUUUAUUGAAGACUAACUACUGCGAAAGCAUUUGCCAAGGAUGUUUUCAUUAAUCAAGAACGAAAGUUAGGGGAUCGAAGACGAUCAGAUACCGUCGUAGUCUUAACCAUAAACUAUGCCGACUAGGGAUCGGAUGAUGUUAAUUUUUUAAUGACUCAUUCGGCGCCUUACGGGAAACCAAAGUGUUUGGGUUC
rnacentral:rRNA from 1 species